rnacentral:rRNA from 1 species
AGAUACCCGGGUAGUCCCAGCCGUAAACUAUGCGCGUUAGGUGUAUCGGUGACCACGAGUUACCGAGGUGCCGAAGGGAAACCGUGAAACGUGCCGCCUGGGAAGUACGGUCGCAAGGCUGAAACUUAAAGGAAUUGGCGGGGAGCACCACAACAGGUGGAGCCUGCGGUUUAAUUGGACUCAACGCCGGGAAGCUCACCGGAUAGGACAGCAGAAUGAUUGCCGGGCUGAAGACCCUGCAUGACUAGCUG